AUAUUAUUAGUUAGCAUUAUUGCAAUGUCUAAAAAAUUCUGUCGAGGAAAGGGGUUAGGUUAUAUAAUUGCGCGUCAACAAGGAUAAAUCCUUAUCGGAAAGCCCCUCUUUCCUGGGAAUGAUCUGGUUGUUAAUAUUGUGAGCUUAUAAUAUUAAUUAUGAAUAAUUAUUAUGUGGUGGAUAUUGGUUUAAUUUUGAUAUAAAUGAAGGAAUUUAGCAUAAAAUAUUUGUUGAAAGUUUGACAAUUAUCUUCUCCGAUAAAAUAUUCAUUCAAAUAUAUUAUAAUAAUAUUACAUUAUAAUAAUGUGAUAAUAUAAUAAUAUAAUUUUUUUGUAAUUUAAAUGGUAAUAUUAUUAUUAUAAUAUAUAAUUUUCAGCAUGUGAAUAAAAGUGGAGUGAAUGUUAUUAUUUUAGUUUUGAAUUUAUUUUCAAAACAUUCCGUGCACAUUUUGAAUUCUCUCCUGCAUAUUUUUCCAAAGUGGAGGCUUACUUGAAUUAUUCCUCUUGCAAAUCUUUUUCCAAAUUUAGUGGGCCCUCAACCAUGGAAAAUGAGAGGUUAGGCAGAGAAUGAAAGUUAGGCGGAGAAGAAAGUUUGGCAAAGUUAGACAAAGAUAUUUAAUUUUUACUCCGAGGUUGCACUAUAAAAGGAGAGGCAACCUCCAUCCUAAACACACC
rnacentral:lncRNA from 1 species